rnacentral:lncRNA from 1 species
CGGAGGUGACCUUAUUGACACCUCCCUCCCAGAUGCGAUGAAUUGCCAUGGAGACCAUUAAUCCCGGUGUCAGCCGGAGCGUAAGGAGGAACCUGUAGUCAACAGCCACCCAGGGCCAGGGAGUUGGCUGAGGAAAGGCGGGCCCGCACGGCUGAAGGCUCACUUUCUCUCUCUGUGCAUUUCAUUUGUUUUUUCCAGAAAAGGAAACCGAGGAACAGAGAGUUAAUAAUUUAUCCAAGGUCACACGGCUAUAUGUGGUGAGACCAGGAUUCAAAACCCAGGCUGUCUGCCUUCAGAGCCUGUGCUGUUAAACUCUGUGCUGGUCAUUUGCAGAGGGAUCCCAAGCGACUGACUCACCUCCUAGGCUCAGCCGUGGACUCUGGGCUUCUCAGCAAAGACACGUGGCCAUCGGGAGACAAGUCCGGAGCCCUGUGGACAGGUGGCUGGCAUGCACUUUGCCCGGGGGGCCAGGCCCUCCUGCGCGGCUCCAGUGUCCUGAGCCCCGCCGAUACUGCAGAUGCCUAGACACCCGGCAAAGAAACCAGCCCCGGGACCCAGGGAAGAAGCGGAGCGAGCAGUUUCGGGGCCAGCAGGCGAUAGUUAAAGAGAGGGCAGCGGCUAGCUUUAUAGAUAUCCCUGAAUUUGCCAGAAAUAUACAAACGCCUCCAAGAAGCCCUGCGAGGCCUGCGUGGCCUCGAAUAUGCCAGAUCGAGGGUAAGUCCUGCUCCUGCCCCUGCUCCCGUCCCUUUAAGGCCCCAUCCCACGCUCAGACUGCAGCGAGAGCCUAGCCGGGACCUCCCUCCAGCCCACCUUCCCUCCUGCCACCAUUCACUUAUCUAUUUACUCGUUCAUUCCAUCAAGAAAUGCUCUGUACCUACUAUGUGCCAGACACUCAGGUAGCAAGACAGUGGCAGUGAAAACAGGCCCCUGGGGCUUACAUUUUGGUGGGAGAGGCCACCACUGCUCAGAGUGGUUUUUUUUUUUGUUGUUGUUGUUGUUUUUUUAAUUAUUU